CAAUUCUCCUACGGGCUCCAGACUCAGACUGGUGGACCCAAACGCACUCCCCUUACUAAGAGGGUCGCGGCCCCACAGGAUGGAUCCCCUAGAGCCCCAGAAACUUCUGGACCACCUCCAGUGGAUCAUCCACCUCCUUCAAGUAAGGCUUCCAGGCCUCCGCCCAUGGGGAGCUGUCCUGCUACUGGUGUGGAGCCCCCAAGUUCCCCAGUCAUUGAGUCUGAAACUCUGAUAGAAGACGUGCUGAGACCUCUGGAACAGGCAUUGGAGGACUGCCAUGGUCACACAAAGAAACAGGUAUGUGAUGAUAUCAGCCGACGCUUGGCGCUGCUUCAAGAACAGUGGGCUGGAGGGAAGUUGUCAAAACCUGUAAAGGAGGGGAUGGCAUUGCUAGUGCAAGGAAUUUUAANAUUCACCCAGUGGGAUGCAGCAGAUGACAUUCACCGAUCAUUCAUGGUUGACCAUGUGACUGAGGUCAGUCAGUGGAUGGUGGGAGUAAAAAGAUUAAUUGCAGAAAAGGAAGAGUCUAUCUUCAGAGGAGACCAAAGAAGAGAAAUUUACAGUGGAACCUGAGAACCAGACAAUACCAGGCUUCCAACAGCCAUCAUAAUGCCUGUGGCUCCCCAGACUCACUUCACCUGACUUCCUAUGCCUUAGUGUGGAAGGCUUCUUNUUCCUUUUUACCACCAGGGAGACUAUUGGUCUUGUGGGUCUUGACCAAAGAUCCUAUNUAGACCACUGCAAGAUCACUUGUUAUGUACAUUUCAAUAAACAUCUCAAUAAAAUCUCAAUGGUGGGAAGUGGGUAGGAAAGAUGAAAAAAAAAAAAG
rnacentral:misc_RNA from 1 species